ACGGGGUGCAGCAGGCGCGAAAACUUUACAAUGCGGGAAACCGUGAUAAGGGGACCUCGAGUGCCAGCAUAUUAUGUUGGCUGUCCAGAUGCCUAAAUAGCAUUUGAUAGCAAGGGCCGGGCAAGACCGGUGCCAGCCGCCGCGGUAACACCGGCGGCCCGAGUGGUAACCGUUAUUAUUGGGUCUAAAGGGUCCGUAGCCGGCCAAGUAAGUCCCUUGGGAAAUCUGGCAGCUUAACUGUCAGGCUGCCAGGGGAUACUGCUUGGCUUGGGACCGGGAGAGGUGAGAGGUACCUCAGGGGUAGGGGUGAAAUCUUGUAAUCCUUGAGGGACCACCAGUGGCGAAGGCGUCUCACCAGAACGGGUCCGACGGCAAGGGACGAAAGCUAGGGGCACGAACCGGAUUAGAUACCCGGGUAGUCCUAGCCGUAAACGAUACUCGCUAGGUGUCAGCCACGGUGCGACCGUGGUUGGUGCCGUAGGGAAGCCGUGAAGCGAGCCACCUGGGAAGUACGGCCGCAAGGCUGAAACUUAAAGGAAUUGGCGGGGGAGCAC
rnacentral:rRNA from 1 species